UUCAUCUUCUUCUUCCUCACACUACAAGCAUGCCCACCACAGAAGCUCUCUCUCUCUUUUGCCGGAAAUCGUCUGACCCACGUCAGCAGUCAUCACCGAGAAUCUCCAGUGCCACUGUUGCUCGGCCCGUUCAUUCGCCAACUCCCAGAAUGCACCUCCAAGUGCAACGCUGUAGAUCCGUGGCUUUAGUUUCUUGAACCACCACCUCAAGCCCAGAUGCCACAUAUCUGGUUGGUCAUCGUUGACUCCACUGCUUUCCUCCGAUCGUCAGUCGACACCACCAUCACUUCCUCUUACUGGAAUAUAUUUGUUUGUGGUUGGAUUGGAGUUUUUGGAAGGAGUUUAAGCUGUCCAAUUGGUUCGAGAUAGGUAUAGGCAAGAUUUUGAUUGCGUCGAAGGUUCAAGCCAUCGUCCGUCAAAAUUAAGGUUUGAUUUUGGUGCUAGAGUUAUUGAGUCGUGUUGAUUUUGAAGCUUUAAGGUGAUUUUAGAUCAAGCCAUACUUUGGGUAAGCAUUUAUUUGAAACUUUUUGGUUAAUUUUGUGAAUUGGAAUUUGGCCCAAAGUUUGAAUUAAACUCGAUUUAUAAUUUUAGAGUCUGAUUCAAGAUCUUAUUAGGAAAAGGGGAAAUAAGCUUUCUUGAACUUAUUUGGGCUCUAAUUUUAAAAUAAGUAUCUUACUACCGGUUUGCCUAUGAGGCAAGUGCCUUGACUAAAUUGUUGAUGUGAAGAUUGAGCAUAUAUCGAGAAAACAUGCUAUUGAAUGUUAUGGAAUGAUUUACUAUGUUUCAAUGAUGCAAGGACGAUGUGGACAUUCUGGUAAUCUAUGAGCUAUGUUAUUAUGAACAUGAUACAAGAUCUUAUUUUUGCAUUUUACAUGUUGGAUAUGAUGGCUAUGAUAUUAUGAUUAUGAUUUAUGGAAUGCGGCCUAUUGGUUGUCUAAUGCAUGCUAGAGUAGAUGGUGACUGUUAGCUUCCCUAUCAGGUUGAGUAUAUCUUAGGCUUGUGAACCUUCGAGUUCAAUACUUAUGAAUGAUUCGGUGUUCCUCAAGGUCACCACCUAUUCCAUAAUUUGUAUUCCUUCAGGAUCACUACUUAUGCUAUGGUUUGUAUUCCCUCAGGAUCACUAUCUAUGUUAUGAUUUGUGGACCUUCGAGUUUGUCUAUGCUCAUGUUUGUGGCUAUGUUAUGUUAUGUACACUUAUGCCCGGAUAAGAAGACUAACAAGUUCACCUAGUGGGCCUAGUAAUGGAAGGACAAGACGACGAAUGAUAAGAAGAAUCCAUGACCGAGUCUAGAGGACUAGACUGACGCUUCCACAUAUGUUUUCUUUCAUGUCUUUCAUGUUUUAGUUUAAAACAAACAUUUAAAUUCUUUGAUUGUUUUUAAUUAGUCAUUUACUUAAUUUAUUUUAACUUGUUUUAGGGGUACCUAAGUAAAGACUUUCUUUUGCGGUUUAUGAACAUUUAUCUGGUUGAAAUUCUA